AGCAAAAAAUAGGCGCCCUUCAUGAAGAAGAGCGCCUUGCCAUGAUUUUCACAUGGCUAUGGGAGAGGAGAAACCGGAGGAAGAGCUUAUGGGGAAACGUAAGCCUUCUCCGCGG
rfam:Bacillus clausii KSM-K16 DNA, complete genome.